rnacentral:rRNA from 1 species
UACGUAGGGGGCAAGCGUUGUCCGGAUUUACUGGGCGUAAAGCGCACGCAGGCGGUCUCUUACAUCUUUGGUGACAGGUCCCGGCUCAACUGGGGCAGUACUGAGGAAAUGGGGAGACUUGAGGGCUUCAGAGGGACGCGGAAUUCCAGGUGGAGCGGUGAAAUGCGUAGAGAUCUGGAAGAACACCGAUGGCGAAGGCAGCGUCCUGGGAAGCAUCUGACGCUCAGGUGCGAAAGCUAGGGGAG